rnacentral:rRNA from 1 species
AUGGAGACUGCUACAAAACCCAAGUCAUUAUGUGCCAAAGUCUUAUCUGCAAGAUAUUAUCCAGGGAAAUCAAUAUUGGAAGCCACCCCCAACAAAGGUAUCUCCUAUGUAUGGCGUAGUAUAUUGAAAGGUUUGCAAUUACUGAAAAAAGGCAUCAUAUGGAGGAUCGGGGAUGGGGAAAAUAUCAAGAUUUGGACUGAUUCUUGGAUACCUAGGGAAAGCACCAGGAAAGUUAUCACGAAAAAAGGACACAAUAUCAUAACUAAGGUGGCAGAACUAAUUGAUUUCAGCACAAACACAUGGGAUGUGCAGCUAGUUCAACAAACAUUUAUUCCAGAAGAUGCUACCAUAAUUCUGCAAAUCCCUAUUCAGGAACAUGCAGAGGACGUCGUCGCUUGGCACUUCGAUAAAAAAGGUAUUUUCUCUGUGAAAUCUGCCUACAAGGUAGCUGUCGAUGCUAGAGACCGUGAGUCUCGUUCAGGUCUAACAUCUUCUUCCAGUGCAGCUGCUGAAGAAGGUGAUUUUAAGUGGAGAAGACUGUGGGAGCUUCCUCUUCCCAAUAAGAUACUACACGUUCUAUGGCGGGUGACGACAUACAACCUACCUCUACGAACGAAGCUUCAAAGCAGAGGUAUGGAAGUGGACACCCGAUGCCCUGUAUGCGCUAGAUUAGAUGAAGAUGGAGGCCAUUGUUUCCUUAAAUGCAAAAGAGUGAAGGCCAUAUGGAGGCAAACCCAACUUGAACAUGUUAGGCUCCAACUCUUAGCUUGCCCAGACUCCUUUAAAUUCAUGGAGGAAGUGCUCAAUCUAAAGGAGGAGGAAAAAUUAAAAACUUGUUUGCUCCUGUGGUUUUGGUGGCAUCAGAGAAAUAAAUGCAAUGCUGGAGAUGCUAUGAAAACAAAUGAUGAAAUCUCCUUUUCAAUUAAUCAUCAGCUUGCUAAUGCAAUCAAUUCUAUGCAGCAAAAAGACAGUGCAAAACUCAAAUGUACCUCAAAGUGGGCUCCACCUCCUGCUGAUAUCCUGAAGAUCAACAUAGACGGGGCCUUCCACGAAGAAUUUCAUUCAGGAGGCUGGGGGUUCACUAUAAGGAACAACAAAGGCGAGCUUUUGGCAGCGGGAGCAGGCAAUUUGGAACAUAUGACUGAGCCUCUACAUUCAGAAGCACUAGCGAUGCUCCAUGCCGUAAAUGCAGCAAUUCAGCUAGGAUGUGAUCGAGUAAUCUUUGAAACCGAUUCGUUGGUGCUGAAGCAGGCUAUCACAUCUGAAGAUUAUAACCUCUCUGCCUUAGGUGUGGUGUUUAGGGAGAUCAAAUUUCAAUUGCAGAUUGGCCUAUCUGAUGUAUGUAUUAAACAUGUUUCAAGGUCGUGUAACCAAGCCGUGCACACCCUUGCUGCGUACGGCACAGUCAUGAAUGUAGGCACUUUUGAGUGCUGGCUUGACCAGUUUCCCGAUUUUAUAAAUGACUGUGUAGCUGGCGAUUUGUCCAGCAAUCUUAUGUAA